GCUGGGCAUGGUGGCGUGUGCCUAUAGUCCUAGCUACUCGGGAGGCUGAGGUGGGAGGAUUGCUUGAGCCCGGGAGGCAGAGGUUGCAGUGAGCCGAGAUCGUGCCACUGCACUUCAGCCUGGGCAAAAGAGUGAGACCCUGUCUCAA
rnacentral:SRP_RNA from 1 species